CCUGCUUGCUAUCUUGGAUGCAGCUCAGUUAUUGAAACCUCAUUUUCUGAGACUGCGGCAGCUUCAUUUCUGGAUUGAGUGGAUUCUGUUGCCCCUGAAUUUAGCCACAACAUAUCUGACUGAGUGUUGCUAUGCAUGAAAAAUGCAGGUUCUGCGGGUAGUGGGAGAGCGACAGAGUAGCUAGUAAGCAUCAGAACAACUGAAGCCAUGUUUGGUCUCUGGGCUGCAUUUUCUUGGACACAAAGCAGACCAAUGUGGAUGCAUCUCAUCAUUUCCGUGCUUGAGGCUUCCCUCAAAAUGGGAUCCACAAGUUUCAAUGCUGUCCCAUCCUUCCAAUUUCUCCACGCCUACAGGAUUUAAUGCUUUGAAUAAAUUUCACUGAGUUACAAUCUCACAUAAAAGGACAAAGGAUAUUAAUACUUAGCUUAGAAGAUCUUCUACGUUCUCCCCGACACGAAAAGCACCAUUUUUUUUACCACAUCAAAUCUCCAAAAGUAGUACACCAAAACUAAAAACAUAUGAUUUGACAAAAAAUUGACCAUGCAUUGUAUAUUCGGGUGUCAUGUAUCCACUGCAAGUCGAUAUCAGAAAAAUUAGUGUACACAUGAUAUCAAAUCUUUGAAUCGUUAGACUUAUCUAAUGAUCAUGUGUAAGCAAAUUGCAGAUUCUGUCAUUCUCAUGAUGAAGGGCACUUUAACAAACGUGAUAAUUCUAGUACUUACAUUAUUCCCACAAUUCUACUGGUAGCACUUUGAGUUUGAUUAAAUGCACACAAUUUUAUCAUAUCAAAAUCUGAAAUUUUAAAAUUCAUCUCUGCAUCUAAUAAUAUGUUACUAGCUUUGAGAUCACGAUGAAUAAUUCGAAGUCGACAAUCUUCAUGCUACUCUAAAGAAUGGCAACAGAACAAGUCGUGCUGAUGGUUGGGGUUAAGGUAUCACGGUUACAACAAUGUGUCGUGCUCGGAAGCUCUGUUCUUCUGUUUUGAUUUGGUAGUCUGAUCUUCUAGAGGAAUUCUAGGAUUUUGUUUUUUUGAUAGUUCUAGCAGAUGGCAAAUGCCUUCUGAUUUGGCUUUUUGGCCUCUGUUUUUUAUAUUACAGGCUGGUUUUGUUGCCCGCUUUUGCUCCUGGGCAUUAGUGACUCUUCCUUUAGUUGUGUUUGAACAGCCACCUCAUCUUUGUGUGUGGCAAUUACGCAGUGAUCGUACAGGUUUCUUACCCAAACCGUAUUCUAAUGUCGUGAGAGUUUUCAGUCAACCAGACAAGAAACUUGACAUGACAUUCUAACCUCUAGAUGCAACGAAACAAUUUUUUUAAAAAAUAAUCUCCACAAACUAACAGAAAAACCUAACAAAAAAAGGAAAUUUAAAAAAAAUCCUUCAAAUCUGGUUGUCACAUAUUAAACCACUACUAAUUGGUGUCUAUCCAAGUAUAAUAUUUUUAAUUUUAAGUGCUUUGCCCUGCUUGCUCUGUUUGUUCUGUUUACUUUAUGCUAAGUAUAUUGAUAGUUAGCGAAGAUUUUUACUUGAACAGUUGCAUUUGAUUGAAUUUCUACUACCAUUGGUUUUUUCUAAUCAUGAAUGAUUUCUGUUAAUAUUAAGAAGGGAAAUAAGGACCAAGUUUCUUUUUUUUUUCUUGGAACAUAGAAAAGUUUGUGGUUUUCCUGUUGAUGGGUAGUAUGCAAUUUGAAAUAAGAAAAUGAUUACAGAAAGAGAUCAUCUAUCAAGGAGAUUUAAUUAUAUCGAAAAGUGAACGAAAAAAAAAAUGACAGUGGAAGAUUUGGAGUAUAUUUAAACAGCAAGACUGGAUAGUUUACCUCCUGUAGAGGGUGGUGGAGAAGAAGUUGGGGAUGGCGGAGGUGACGGUAGAGGAACUGGAGUCUGAAAAAAUGGGUUAGACUCAAAUCUCAAAAAACAGCUUGGUCUAAGAACCCUGCAUCCCAUCGUCCCCAAGCAGCAACUUCCAAUCUCAUCCUCAGCCACAGUUAGACACUCGCCACAUUCUUCCUCGGACAAAUCAGGAGUGCACUGUACCAUAGCAUAUACUGUUUGAAAAGGGCCCACCCUUUAGAUAUCUACCGCAUACUUGCGAAGAGGACCUGCAGCUGCGGCUCGACUGCUCAAAUUAUUCAACAGAUCACUCAAUGCCUGAUUGAACUGAUUAGGAUUCUUUACGUUCACUGGGUAGAGUAGACAAGAGCCAGGAGAGAUUUCCAUUUCUCCGAGGAUGUCUCGGUUGGUGUAGCGCAGCAUACAAAAUUCAGACCACCCGAUCACCUCCUUUGCAAAGGGACAACGCUUCCUGAGCUCAGAUACGGUGUCAUUAAGGCAGCUGUUGCAAACAUCUUGGCUUCUAUCCCCCCUGCAAAGUGCAAUCGCAUUGACUUUGUUGGCGUUUUCACCAGCAGACAGAUUAUAGAACCCAUAAUUGAAUUCUGUUAGAGAGGUGACUUGAGAGAACAUGCUGUCGAGGUUGGCCUGGUAAGUGCUGUUUGCGGUGUAGUUACCAGCUGAGUCUACGCAACGAGACUGGAAAUAUGGAUAGGCCCCAAGGGUGAGAGUAGCAAGGAAUAGGAGAACCGAAUAAAAAAAACGAAGCAGUCUUGAAAAUCCCAUUGCCAAUGUUUCUCUCUCCCCUCCGAAAACUUUUAUCUACGAAGCUGUAUACAGAUACGUGCUUCUAUGGACAAAACUAAUAAUUUACUGAAUUCUGACUCUUUAAAUUCACCACUCGUGCUGAAACAAGGCUUAGGGUAAUUAAAGUAAUGCAUGAAUCAGAUUUAUCUUUGAAACGAAAGUUGGGUAUUUAAGCUCUCUUUUCUCAAGCUAUAUAUCUUGCCACCAAAAGAAGCUAAACUUUAAUUGUUGGAGAGAAUUGAUGUCAGAGGAAUAUGCAGCAGUGAGAAAAAGAGGACUUUGAUGAGAGUAAUACAGGAGCGGAUAUGGUACUGAUACAGGAAAUUAAGUUGGAGAGAAUUGAUGAGAAAUGGAUGGAGAGACUGGCCGGACGGUAACUUCAGUUGGGCGUUCUGUCCCCUUAAAGAUGAUUUAUAAUCAGGUAGAUUUUUCAGCCUUUAAACCCGUGUAUAUAAACCCCUGUACUGCACAUAUGACAGAUGAAUGAAAAUAUACUGCUCAUUCAUUUCAUCCAUUCUCAAUAAGUGAAUAUUCCCCAGCUGCUUUCACGGUAUCAGAGUGGUAAGUCUUGUGGUUUGCUGGCAAUGUGGAACGUGACAAUCUUUGCGAUGAGUGAGCUGGAAUGUAUGCUUAUCAUUAUAGGUAUAUGGGUGAUUCACGACUUUGACUGCAGAGUUGUCGAUGUUCAUGCUCCAUGUUCGUCAGCAGAAACAUUUUAUUAUGUGAAAACCUUUUGCUACUUAGAAAUUGGUUGCUUGAUGUCUGUAUUGUACUGUCUGAUAUGGGGUGAUGCUUCUGGGUUGAUAUGUCUAAAUGUGUUAGAUGCUAUUUGGGACUGAAGGUUUUAGGUGGUCUUGUACCAUAAGGGUUGAUGGAGAUGGAAGCAUUUGAUGACAAGCCGCAAUGGCCUACCAACUUUGCUUUCCUUCUGCCCGGAUCGCGGUUUCCUUUUUAAUAUUUUAAUUGACUUAUCGCAGUACAAUAAUUAUAUUUGAGGGAAUUGACAUAGGCAAAACCGGAUGGAAUCCUUAGGCACGAGUUUCACCAUUAUUCUGGAUUAGAUCAGCCUAGUUAAUUAGAUUAUAUGUGGAUCAAAAAGAGAUGGCGGAUUCUAAUUGGAAGGAAAAUAUUGGGUUAUCAAUGCAAGUGAACUGAGUGGCAUAGUCAACAGAAAAGCUGUAAAAUUUAAGACGAGUCUGAAACCUUUAUAUAUACUUAAAAUCUCUAUUUAAACUCUCACCUAAUCCUACCACUUGAAACAGGUCCAAGUUGGUUCAGCAAGUGACAUCGUCAACUGGAAAAGCUGUAGAAUUUAAGACAAUUAUGAAGCAAUUAUCGAGGAUAUAGUUCAGUAAUUGAAGCCUCGUUUUGGGAUAGAGGGAUUGAUUCCCUUUUGGAUGGCUUGGACUCUGACACCCGAGAAUUAUAAUCCCACGAGGAUGACAUGUCAGAAUCAAUGUUGCUGUGCAUAAAAAAUGCUGGUUGAGAGGGCAGUGGGAGGGAGAUUGAGAUGCUAUUCAGCAUCAGAACAACUGUAGCCAUGGUUGGCCUGUUAGCUACGUUUUCCUGAACACAUAAUAAUCCAAUAUGGAUGCAUCUCAGCAUUUCAUUUCUCGAACCAUCCCUCAAAGUUGGAUCAAUGAUAUUCAAUGCUGUCCCUUCCCUCCAAUUUUUCCAGGCCUGCAAGAAAUUAUCAAUAUCCAUGUGGAAAAGUGAAAUAAGAAUCUUUGAAAACUUUCGUGAUUCUGUUAUGCUUAAUACUACAACUUUUUAAUUAGCAAUACAAAAUCGAAAUAUGAAUUUAGAUAGGCAUACUCACACAGCUCAAUAGAUCUUCCACACUCUCCCCGUUACGAAAGCAAUUAUUUUUCUGACCACUUAUAAUUUCUAAAAUUAUUACACCAAAACUGAAUACGUCUGACUUAACUGAGAAUUGCCCAUGCAUAGCAUAUUCCGGUGCCAUAUAUCCACUGCAUAUAAACAUUUUCUUGCAUCAUUCUUAUGAUCUAUGAUUUUCUUAAUGAUAGAAUGGAACUAAAUCUUUGUUCAGCAUUUCAUAUUGUUUUUGAAACAUAUACUACUGGAAUUUAUGCAUAAAACAAACAAUUCAAAGCUGAAGUGAUUUUUUUAUACUUACAAGGUCCCCACGAUUCUGCUGGUAUUGCCUUGUGUUUCAUCACGUAUAAACAACCUUGCCAUUCCAAAAUCUGCAAUUUUAGGGGCCAUCUCUGCAUCUAACAAAACAUUGCUUGCUUUAAGAUCACGGUGGAUUAUCCUCAAUCGAGAAUCUUCAUGGAGGUAAAGGAGCCCACGAGCAAUGCCCCCUAUGAUUUUGUAGCGCCUUUCCCAAUCUAACUGUGCACGUUUGACUUGAUCUAUGGUAUAUAUGUUCACACAAGUAUAAUGGAAUAAGACCAAAUUACUAGGAUAAAUUAUAGGCUCUGCUUGGUUAUUAUUAGUUUACAAAUAUGCUCCUGAUGGUGGCUAUGCAGCUAAAAGAACAUAAGAAAUUUAUCAAUCUAAAAGUGAAACUGAAACCGUACCAAAAAUAAAAUGAUCAAGGCUUGUGUUUGGCACAAACUCAUAGAUGAGAAGUCUUUCACGUCCUUCCAAGCAGAAACCAAGGAGCCUAACUAAAUUUCGGUGUUGAAGCUUGGCCACCAGCAGGACCUCGUUCUUAAAUUCUACCUCUCCUUGUCCAGAAUCUGUAGAUAGUCUUUUCACAGCAACCUCUUGUCCAUCUGAAAGCAGACCCUGAAAUAGUACAACGUAUCAUAAGUGACUCUAGAUUGAUUUCAAAAUUAAGGUUAAAAUUUCAAUGUUUGAGAUAAAUUUAUAGUACUCUUUUCCAAUUGCAGGGCUCGUUACCUUGUAAACAGCUCCAAAUCCACCUUGGCCAAGCUUAUUUGCGUCCGAAAAGUUAUCAGUCGCAAUCCGGAUAGUGGCAAAGUCAAAUUGCAAGGACUCAACCCUAAUAAUCUCAUCAACAGCUGCAAAAAGUAAAAUGUUUACACUUGCAGUUAAAAGCAUGGCAUUUGUAAGCAUCAAAGGUAGAUUCGCCUGGAAAAUUUUAAACUUGUACACUGAUAAUUGAUGGUACGUUUUGCUUAUUUCAUUACACGUAUCUUCACCAGCUGGUGAAAGUCUUUUAACCAUUAUUUUUUAAUCAAGUCAAAUAUCAUGUUGCAUCAGCUAUCAGGGGAGCAAUAUUACUUACUUUCAACUUUUUCCCAGUUCUUUCUGGCUCUCAGAAAGAUGCAGAUGGAGAUGGUUAUUAGUACCACAACUCCAACAACUGAUGCAACAACAAUGAUGAUAGUCCGGGUCGUGUUAUUGCCCUUUUCUGCAAAAUUCAGAAGUAUGAGCCUAGUCGGAAUUAUAAUCGCAUAUACUUGCACAUUGUAUAAAUGAACUUAAAAAGAUAAACCCCACAAGGAAACAAAAAAACCUGACAGAAAAAGAAAUUAAAAAAAAAAUCAUUCCAAUCUGGUUGUCACAUAUUAAACCACUAGUCAUUGGUGUUUCUCCAGGAAUAAUUUAUUUCCUUUUAAGUGCUUUGCUCUGUUUAUCUUAUUUACUCUAUGUUUUGUAUAUGGGUAGUCAUUGUUAGCUAAGAUUUUUACUUGAAUAGUAGCAUUCUAUUGAAUUAUAUUACUUUCCAUUAGUAUUAAGAAAGGAAAUAAGGACGAUAAAAUCUUAACCCAUCGUGUCACUUUUUCAAUUUUGUAUAUUUUAUACAUGAAUACAUCUACUUUGGAUGUAAUGGGCCGAUUGAAAACCCACUCUAGAAUCAUUUAACUUUGAAUUCUUCGUAUAAAAGUGAAGUGAUAAGGCAAGGGUGAAGUAACCUUAUUGAACAUGAGAUAUAAAAUUAUAAAAAAAAUUAAAUAAGAUACUGAUAAUAAAGGAUUUUUAUUCAGCAAAGGAACGGAUUAAUUAUGUGAUUGGCUAAGGUGGAGUUAAAAAUAUUUUUUAAAAUAAAAAUAAUAAGUUUUACCUUGGUAUUAUGCUUUCCUACUAUAUACUUGCAUAUAUAAUUAGCUGAUUUGUACUGGCGUUAUUAAGGAAAUACUAGUACUUUUAUUUUCCUUUCUUUUGCUAUAAAGCUCGCUGAGGGAGAAAAGGAAAAGCAAGCAAGGUAAGGACGUUGGGUGCAGAUAAUAAAUUGAGGAUUCAAUGUAUUUGGCAGGGGGACAUAGGGCUGUUGAAUAAAUGAGUGGACAGGUGGAUGUACCAAAAACAAAAUGACUGCACACGUGGGGCGGUGGGCAUAAAGUCUCUUCUGCCUUAUCACUAUCUUUGAAAAGCGAAAUAUGAAUAGAAAACAAGAAAACAACCAUGGCCCAAACUCCAAACAAUAUAAUUAUUGAGGGAUUGGAAGUUUCUUUUUUUUCCUCAGAACAAAGAAAAUUUUGUGGUUUUCUUGUUGAUGGGUAGUGUGCAACUUGAAAUGAGAAAAUGAAUACAUAAAAAGGUGGAAUGCAAAAUGAUUUAGGUGUCAAGGAGAUUUAAUUAUAUCUAACUAUUCUUAGUAUUAAAUGAAAGAGAAAGAUAUGGAGUAUAUUUUAACAGCAAGACUGGAUACUUUACCUCCAGUAGAGGGAGGUGGAGAAGAAGUUGGGGAUGGCGGAGGUGACGGUAGAGGAACUGGAGUCUGAUAAAAUUGGCUAGACUCAAAUCUCAAGAAACAGCUUGGUCUAAGAACCCUGCAUCCCAUCUUCCCCUCGCAGCAACUUCCAAUCCCCUCCUUAGCCACAUUUAGACACUCGUCACAUUCUUCCUCGGACAAAUCAGGAGUGCACUGUACCAAAGCAUAUACCGUUUGAAAAAGGCGCACCUCAGAGUUUCCUGCUGCAUACUUGCGCAGAGGACCCGCAGCUGCGGCUAGACUGCUCAAAUUAUUCAACAGGUCACUCAAUGCCUGAUUGAACUGAUUAGCAUUCGUUACGUUCUGUGUGUUGCGUAGACAACUGCCAGGAGAGAUUUCCAUUUCUCCAAGGAUGUUUCGGUUGGCGUAGCGCAACGUACAAAAUUCAGACCAUCCAACCACCUCCUUCGAUAAGGGGCAUCGCUGCCUGACCUCAGAUACGGUGUCAUUAAGGCAACUGUUGCAUUCAUCUUGGUUUCUAUCCCCCCUGCAAAGUGCAAUCGCGUUGACUUUGUUGGGGUUUUGACCAGCUGACAGAUUAUAGAACCCAUAAUUGAAUUCUGUUAGUGAGGUGACCUGAGAGAAGAUGCUAUCGAGGUUGGUCUGGUAAGUGCUGUUUGCAGUGUAGUUACCAGCUGAGUUUGCGCAAUCAGACUGGAAUAAUGGAUCGGCCCCGAGGGUAAGAGUAGCAAAGAAUAGAACAACCGAAUAAAAAAAGAGAAGCAGUCUUGAAAAUCCCAUCGCGAUUGCGUCUCUCUCCUCUGUGAAAACUUUUAUCUAUGAAGGUUUAUGCAGAGAUACACGCGUUUAUAGGGAAGAAGAAGAAAACAUUAAUAUAUUGUUGAAUUGAAGUGAGACUCUUUGAAUUUUCUGCAUUAUCAAUUGAAUCAAGAUUUUAAUAUUAAUAUUUAUAACGCAAAUUGUUGGUAUAUAUGCAGGGCAUUUUGGGACGUGAAUUGGUCAGGGCUCCCUGGAAACUGAUACAUCAAAUAUCAUUAAGGGUAAAUGAGGAAAUAUAGGGACAAGCGUUUACAGGCAAGCUAUUUGUAUCUCUCUUUUUUUUCAAGCUAUAUUGCCGGCGAAGUAAGCUAAACUUUAUAUAUAUUUGUAUAAAAUGAAGAAAUAAAAACUGAGGUUAUUUUUUGGCCAAAACUUUCUCAUGUUUCUACCCGUGGAUUUACGUAUGAUUAUAUAAUAAUUGUGUAGUUUUGAACAAUUGUACCUUGAAUUCAUUUUAAAUCGAUUGAAAGGGUUGAUAGAGAUGGCAGUAAUCGAGGACAAGCCGCCAUGGACCUACCAACUUGUCUCUCUUUCUGCCCAAAGGGCCAGAACGCGGUUUCCAUUUCUAAGUGACCAGGUGGCAUCCUUAGGCACGAGUUUGACCAUUAUUCAUCUAGAUUAAAUCGCCUUAUGUGAUUAGAUUAUAUGUGGAUCAAGAAGAGAUGGCGGAUUCUGAUUGGAAGGAAAAUAUUGGGUUAUCAAUGAAUGACUAAAACUAAAUAUAAGAUUGUUAAUGUUUGUUUAAGUUUAAACAGUCUAGUGGCUGUAGACUUUUUGGUCCACAUGCCUUUUAAAAGUUCUUUUUUGAUAGUUGGUUGGUAAUGUUAUCAUCGUAAUCACAAAUACUGACUAAGCAUGGCUCACUCUGUCCGAAUCCGUCCGAGCAGCAGCCUGGUAUACUAUUUUAAGGUUUAGACACUGAUUUGGAAGAUGUUGAAAGUUUAAUUUUGGGUUAAUCAUAAAAUUUCUUUCAUAAGAAAUUGCUGGAAGGCUUCUUGGUGUACACACUAUGUUGAAAAUGAAAAGAAGAUUCAGAAUAAAAAAGUAUAAAAGAAGGGUGGCUGAUUGAGAUGGGAGUGGCGGAAGAGGAAAAGCUACAUAUGAAACCUUCAAGUUCAUUUCCUUCUCUAUGAAUAGGAAAAGAACAAAGAAGUUUCUGUUCAUCUCCUUCUGGCUUAUAAUACCGUGUCAAAAUCAAUCAUAUUGCCAGUCAAACAAAGAAGGUUUCAAGUUUUUUUAUUUUUUGUUUGGUUGCUUUGACUAAGCACAAGCUGGUGUGCAACUUAAAGUAUGGUGAGAUUAUUCGUGAGAGCUGGCAAAUUCUUGGUGGUAGAGAACGUGGCCCGAUAGUUUCUAUUAAUUAGUCUAAUAAUCAGCCUAAUCUGUUGACCAACAGGAAUUGAACUACUUAAUUUACAAUCCACACAGUUACAAAAAGAAAAGAAGAGAAAUCUAUGACUUGGAGAUUUGAUUAACCCCCGAAUAUUUAACACAUGAAAAGGAUGGUCCAAGCGUAAUCAGCUCAAUCUGCAGAGAGAGGAAAUUGUAACAAAUACUGAAUUUUGACCCAGAAAUGCUUACAAAUGUGACCUGCUUGCUAUCUUGGAUGCAGCUCAGUUAUUGAAACCUCAUUUUCUGAGACUGCGGCAACUUCAUUUCUGGAUUGAGUCGAUUCUGUUGCCCCUGAAUUUAGCCACAACAUAUCUGAUUGAGUGUUGCUGUGCAUGAAAAAUGCAGGUUCUGAGGGUAGUGGGAGAGUGACAGAGUAGCUGGUAAGCAUCAGAACAACUGAAGCCAUGUUUGGUCUCUGGGCUGCAUUUUCUUGGACACAGAGCAGACCAAUGUGGAUGCAUCUCAUCACUUCCGUUCUUGAAGCUUCCCUCAA
rnacentral:lncRNA from 1 species